GACGAACGCUGGCGGCGUGCUUAACACAUGCAAGUCGAGCGGAAAGGCCCUUCGGGGUACUCGAGCGGCGAACGGGUGAGUAACACGUGAGUAAUCUGCCCUUGGCUUUGGGAUAACUACCGGAAACGGUGGCUAAUACCGGAUACGACAACCGUCUGCAUGGGCUGGUUGUGGAAAGUUUUUUCGGCCAGGGAUGUGCUCGCGGCCUAUCAGCUUGUUGGUGGGGUAAUGGCCUACCAAGGCUUCGACGGGUAGCCGGCCUGAGAGGGUGACCGGCCACACUGGGACUGAGACACGGCCCAGACUCCUACGGGAGGCAGCAGUGGGGAGUAUUGGACAAUGGGCGGAAGCCUGAUCCAGCAACGCCGCGUGAGGGAUGACGGCCUUCGGGUUGUAAACCUCUUUCAGUACCGACGAAGCGCCGAUGAUGGUGGUGACGGUAGGUACAGAAGAAGCACCGGCCAACUACGUG
rnacentral:rRNA from 1 species